GACGAACGCUGGCGGCGUGCCUAAUACAUGCAAGUCGAGCGGACUGAUUAAGAGCUUGCUCUUAUGACGUUAGCGGCGGACGGGUGAGUAACACGUGGGCAACCUGCCCUGUAGAUCGGGAUAACACCGAGAAAUCGGUGCUAAUACCGGGUAAUAUCUGAGAUCACAUGAUCUUAGGUUAAAAGAUGGCUCCGGCUAUCACUACAGGAUGGGCCCGCGGCGCAUUAGCUAGUUGGUAAGGUAAUGGCUUACCAAGGCGACGAUGCGUAGCCGACCUGAGAGGGUGAUCGGCCACACUGGGACUGAGACACGGCCCAGACUCCUACGGGAGGCAGCAGUAGGGAAUCUUCCGCAAUGGACGAAAGUCUGACGGAGCAACGCCGCGUGAGUGACGAAGGGUUUCGGCUCGUAAGGCUCUGUUGUUAGGGAAGAAACAGUACCGAACGAACUAGGUCGGUACCUUGACGGUACCUAACCAGAAAGCCACGGCUAACUACGUG
rnacentral:rRNA from 1 species